AGGUCGCCGGAAACUGGGUAAGAUUCAAAUGAGUAUAACUUUUUCAAUAAGCAACGAAAUUGAGUGAAACAAAAAGGAAAGUUGUAGCCCUCGAAGAGACGAAGAGAAUGGUACCUCACACGACAUCUGACUCGUUGUGGUUUGGCCGGAAAUUGCCUCUAAAGCCACUGAGGUCGCCGGAAACUGGGUAAGAUUCAAAUGAGUAUAACUUUUUCAAUACUCAACGAAAUUGAGUGAAACAAAAAGGAAAGUUGUACUACUCGACGAGACGAAGAGAUUGAUACCUUGCAUGCCGGCCAAAAUUCAAUUGACACACUCCUGGCUUCCAAAAUUCAAU
rnacentral:lncRNA from 1 species